UACGGGGGGGGCAAGCGUUGUUCGGAAUUACUGGGCGUAAAGGGCUCGUAGGCGGCCAACUAAGUCAGACGUGAAAUCCCUCGGCUUAACCGGGGAACUGCGUCUGAUACUGGAUGGCUUGAGGUUGGGAGAGGGAUGCGGAAUUCCAGGUGUAGCGGUGAAAUGCGUAGAUAUCAGGAGGAACACCGGUGGCGAAGGCGGUUCUCUGGGCCUGUACUGACGCUGAGGAACGAAAGCGUGGGGAGCGAACAGG
rnacentral:rRNA from 1 species